AUUGAACGCUGGCGGCAUGCUUUACACAUGCAAGUCGAACGGUAACAGGCCGCAAGGUGCUGACGAGUGGCGAACGGGUGAGUAAUGCAUCGGAACGUGCCCAGUCGUGGGGGAUAACGCAGCGAAAGCUGCGCUAAUACCGCAUACGAUCUAUGGAUGAAAGCGGGGGACCGUAAGGCCUCGCGCGAUUGGAGCGGCCGAUGUCAGAUUAGGUAGUUGGUGGGGUAAAGGCUCACCAAGCCAACGAUCUGUAGCUGGUCUGAGAGGACGACCAGCCACACUGGGACUGAGACACGGCCCAGACUCCUACGGGAGGCAGCAGUGGGGAAUUUUGGACAAUGGGGGCAACCCUGAUCCAGCAAUGCCGCGUGUGUGAAGAAGGCCUUCGGGUUGUAAAGCACUUUUGUCCGGAACGAAACGGCGAGGACUAAUAUCCUUUGCUAAUGACGGUACCAGAAGAAUAAGCACCGGCUAACUACGUGCCAGCCGCCGCGGUAACAC
rnacentral:rRNA from 1 species